rnacentral:rRNA from 1 species
CGAUGAACUUCUAGCUUGCUAGAAGUGGAUUAGUGGCGCACGGGUGAGUAAUGCAUAGGUUAUGUGCCCUUUAGUCUGGGAUAGCCACUGGAAACGGUGAUUAAUACUGGAUACUCCCUACGGGGGAAAGUUUUUCGCUAAAGGAUCAGCCUAUGUCCUAUCAGCUUGUUGGUGAGGUAAUGGCUCACCAAGGCUAUGACGGGUAUCCGGCCUGAGAGGGUGAUCGGACACACUGGAACUGAGACACGGUCCAGACUCCUACGGGAGGCAGCAGUAGGGAAUAUUGCUCAAUGGGGGAAACCCUGAAGCAGCAACGCCGCGUGGAGGAUGAAGGUUUUAGGAUUGUAAACUCCUUUUGUUAGAGAAGAUUAUGACGGUAUCUAACGAAUAAGCACCGGCUAACUCCGUGCCAGCAGCCGCGGUAAUACGGAGGGUGCAAGCGUUACUCGGAAUCACUGGGCGUAAAGAGUGCGUAGGCGGGGUAAUAAGUCAGAUGUGAAAUCCUGUAGCUUAACUACAGAACUGCAUUUGAAACUGUUACUCUGGAGUGUGGGAGAGGUAGGUGGAAUUCUUGGUGUAGGGGUAAAAUCCGUAGAGAUCAAGAGGAAUACUCAUUGCGAAGGCGACCUGCUGGAACAUUACUGACGCUGAUGCACGAAAGCGUGGGGAGCAAACAGGAUUAGAUACCCUGGUAGUCCACGCCCUAAACGAUGGAUGCUAGUUGUUGCCUUGCUUGUCAGGGCAGUAAUGCAGCUAACGCAUUAAGCAUCCCGCCUGGGGAGUACGGUCGCAAGAUUAAAACUCAAAGGAAUAGACGGGGACCCGCACAAGCGGUGGAGCAUGUGGUUUAAUUCGAAGAUACGCGAAGAACCUUACCUAGGCUUGACAUUGAUA